UACAGAGGCCUCGAGCGUUGUUCGGAAUUACUGGGCGUAAAGGGCGCGUAGGCGGCCUGUUAAGUCGAACGUGAAAUCCCCGGGCUCAACCCGGGAACUGCGUCCGAUACUGGCAGGCUUGAAUCCGGGAGAGGGAUGCGGAAUUCCAGGUGUAGCGGUGAAAUGCGUAGAUAUCUGGAGGAACACCGGUGGCGAAGGCGGCCUGCUGGGCAGUGGCUGACACUGAGGCGCGACAGCGUGGGGAGCAAACAGG
rnacentral:rRNA from 1 species